AUGCAGCUGCAUGUGAACUCAGAUGUGGUUCACUGCAUUCUCCCAGGUGAAUGGGCUCCUCUAAAAAGAUGGGAGAUGUCGGCCUCUCCAGUGCACAGCACACUCAGAAUUACAAAUCUAAGAGGUAAAAUGAGGACUCCUGGGCCUAGAUUGAAUGAACAUCCAAUUAGGAUCAAUCAAGAAAGACUUCAUGUCCCACAGCAGCUGAGUUCUCAGAUUUCUGGCCACUUAGAUUAGAGCAACCCAACCACUGAAGCCAUCUCUGUCACAUGAUGCUUGUGGGCAGAAGCCAGCACUUCUAUUCUCCUCCAAGUUGGACGCUUCCCUCAAAUCUCAGCCAGCUGAGAAAACAUCCUGAUCUGAAGUUUGUCCAGGCUGUCCUGGGUGAGGAUGGAGGCACACAGCCACUGUCCCUAGUUUGUGACAUCUCGCUCUCUGUGAGAUUGAAAGGUUUCAGUUCUUCAAAAUAAUAAAAUACCUUCAGUCA
rnacentral:lncRNA from 1 species